rnacentral:rRNA from 1 species
CACCGCGGUGAUACGGGAGACCCAAGUUGAUGCCCGUCGGCGUAAAGAGUGGUUAGGGUGAGCUUUGCACUAAAGCCGCAAUACUUCACAGCUGUUAUACGCCCAUAUAUGAAGCGCGGAAGCCCAAAUACGAAAGUAGCUUUAUAAGACCUGAACCCACGAGAGCUAAGGAA